CGCACCUUGCACCUUUUGGUAUUCCGAAAGGUAUGCCUGUUUGAGUGUCAUGAAAUCUCACUCCCCUCGGGUUUUACGACCCGAUCGGACGUGGACUUGGGCGUCUUGUCUUUCAUUAGACUCGCCUCAAAUGGAUUAGUGGAAAGAAAGCUAAUGGCUAAGACGUAAUAAGUUUCGUCUGUGCUGGGCUUAGACGUCUGCUCACAACCAACCAUAUUUCUGACUCUGACCUCAAAUCAGGUAGGGCUACCCGCUGAACUUAA
rnacentral:misc_RNA from 1 species